UCUCCUGUAGUUCAGUGGUAGAGCGUCCGACAGUGUGCGGAAGGUCAUAGGUUCGACUCCUGUUAGGGAAC
rnacentral:tRNA from 1 species